UAAGGGAGUGUUUGCAAAAACUUAUGCUUUCAGAUGAAGUGAUUAUCGUAGCAGAUGCGAAAAGUUGUUGAGAAUCAGAAAACCUAAAGCACAUCUCCCCUGCUUUUAGGUUCUACUUAAAUUAUAUAAAUUAGAAGCAAAAAUUGGCAUUUGAAAACACUAUAAACUUCUUUUUUUCAGCCAAAAGCUGAUAAUCACUUUCUUCGAAUAUUUGCAAACACUCCCUUAG
rnacentral:pre_miRNA from 1 species